rnacentral:rRNA from 1 species
GGGGACGACGUCAAGUCAUCAUGGCCCUUACGAGUAGGGCUACACACGUGCUACAAUGGCGCAUACAGAGGGCGGCCAACUUGCGAAAGUGAGCGAAUCCCAAAAAGUGCGUCGUAGUCCGGAUUGGAGUCUGCAACUCGACUCCAUGAAGUCGGAAUCGCUAGUAAUCGUGGAUCAGAAUGCCACGGUGAAUACGUUCCCGGGCCUUGUAC